UACGUAGGGGCCAAGCGUUGUCCGGAUUUAUUGGGCGUAAAGAGCUCGUAGGCGGUUCGGCAAGUCAGCUGUGAAAUCUCCACGCUCAACGUGGAGGGGUCAGCUGAUACUGCUGUGACUUGAGUCCGGUAGGGGAGUGUGGAAUUCCCGGUGUAGCGGUGAAAUGCGUAGAUAUCUGGAGGAACACCGGUGGCGAAGGCGGCGUUCUGGACUGUUUCUGACACUGAAAAACGAAAGCCAGGGGAGCAAACGGG
rnacentral:rRNA from 1 species